AUGAACGCUAGCUACAGGCUUAACACAUGCAAGUCGAGGGGCAUCAGGAAGAAAGCUUGCUUUCUUUGCUGGCGACCGGCGCACGGGUGAGUAACACGUAUCCAACCUGCCCUUUACUCGGGGAUAGCCUUUCGAAAGAAAGAUUAAUACCCGAUGGCAUAAUGAUUCCGCAUGGUUUCAUUAUUAAAGGAUUCCGGUAAAGGAUGGGGAUGCGUUCCAUUAGGUUGUUGGUGAGGUAACGGCUCACCAAGCCUUCGAUGGAUAGGGGUUCUGAGAGGAAGGUCCCCCACAUUGGAACUGAGACACGGUCCAAACUCCUACGGGAGGCAGCAGUGAGGAAUAUUGGUCAAUGGGCGCUAGCCUGAACCAGCCAAGUAGCGUGAAGGAUGAAGGCUCUAUGGGUCGUAAACUUCUUUUAUAUAAGAAUAAAGUGCAGUAUGUAUACUGUUUUGUAUGUAUUAUAUGAAUAAGGAUCGGCUAACUCCGUGCCAGCAGCCGCGGUAAUACGGAGGAUCCGAGCGUUAUCCGGAUUUAUUGGGUUUAAAGGGAGCGUAGGUGGACUGGUAAGUCAGUUGUGAAAGUUUGCGGCUCAACCGUAAAAUUGCAGUUGAUACUGUCAGUCUUGAGUACAGUAGAGGUGGGCGGAAUUCGUGGUGUAGCGGUGAAAUGCUUAGAUAUCACGAAGAACUCCGAUUGCGAAGGCAGCUCACUGGACUGCAACUGACACUGAUGCUCGAAAGUGUGGGUAUCAAACAGGAUUAGAUACCCUGGUAGUCCACACAGUAAACGAUGAAUACUCGCUGUUUGCGAUAUACAGUAAGCGGCCAAGCGAAAGCAUUAAGUAUUCCACCUGGGGAGUACGCCGGCAACGGUGAAACUCAAAGGAAUUGACGGGGGCCCGCACAAGCGGAGGAACAUGUGGUUUAAUUCGAUGAUACGCGAGGAACCUUACCCGGGCUUAAAUUGCAGUGGAAUGAUGUGGAAACAUGUCAGUGAGCAAUCACCGCUGUGAAGGUGCUGCAUGGUUGUCGUCAGCUCGUGCCGUGAGGUGUCGGCUUAAGUGCCAUAACGAGCGCAACCCUUAUCUUUAGUUACUAACAGGUUAUGCUGAGGACUCUAGAGAGACUGCCGUCGUAAGAUGUGAGGAAGGUGGGGAUGACGUCAAAUCAGCACGGCCCUUACGUCCGGGGCUACACACGUGUUACAAUGGGGGGUACAGAAGGCAGCUAGCGGGUGACCGUAUGCUAAUCCCAAAAGCCUCUCUCAGUUCGGAUCGAAGUCUGCAACCCGACUUCGUGAAGCUGGAUUCGCUAGUAAUCGCGCAUCAGCCACGGCGCGGUGAAUACGUUCCCGGGCCUUGUACACACCGCCCGUCAAGCCAUGGGAGCCGGGGGUACCUGAAGUACGUAACCGCAAGGA
rnacentral:rRNA from 1 species